GUCUAGGUCCGUGGGCCGGGACAGUUCAAGUGGUCGUGUACCCAGGUCCCAAGCCAUGGAGAGCAGGUCCUUAGAUGGUCUUUCGCAUGCAAGGCCCAUUUACAAU